rnacentral:rRNA from 1 species
CAGCAGCCUCGGGAAUACGAGGGGGGCAAGCGUUGUUCGGAAUUAUUGGGCGUAAAGGGUGCGUAGGCGGUUUGGCAAGUCUGGUGUGAAAUCUUCGGGCUCAACUCGAAGUCUGCAUCGAAAACUGCCGGGCUUGAGUACGGGAGAGGUGAGUGGAAUUUCCGGUGUAGCGGUGAAAUGCGUAGAUAUCGGAAGGAACACCUGUGGCGAAAGCGGCUCACUGGACCAUAACUGACGCUGAUGCACGAAAGCUAGGGGAGCAAACAGGAUUAGAUACCCCGGUAGUCCCUGUCUCUUAUAC